UGAGGUACUCGCACAAGAAACUGAAUGCGUAGCCAUUAUGUUGGUUAAUUAUUGUAUGUCUUACUUUAGAUAUAAUUACGGCUGUUAUGUGUUCUUAUUGAUACUCAAUUAAUAUGUGACCAAAACAACUCUGGACAAACUAAUGGAGCUUUCGGUGACCGUAUGAGGAUCAUCGAGACUAAGCAUGUGUUUAAGUCACAUGGAGUUGAUACAAUUUAUAAUUAUUGUUAUAGGGGUGGGCCGUCUGGUUGCCUCCUUUCUUGUCUCAAUGAGAUGGUCUGAUUUAGCUGCUCGCAGGUUGUGCGAGUCAACAGCGGCGACUCAGGGCAGAGGCUCUUUUUGUCCGAUGGAGCUCUUUGACAUGGUGCACUCCCCACCAGCCUGAUGACUCGUGGUGGUCGUCCAGACUUGUAUUCGGCUAGAACCACGUGACCUUCUGGUCUCCAUGCCAUCUGUAGGUCGCGGUGUAUUGCUUCUGCAUAUAUUAGACUGCUGGCAUCGAAUUGGGUUUGCUGGUGGAAAGUUCUGUGUCGUAUCAGUCUUUAAGAGUGUAGACUUAAUCAAGGGGAAGGAAGAAAUCGUAUUGAGAGCUGUCCAAAUUUUUUGUCUUGCUGUGUGGCUGUGUGGUUCAUGAAAAUAAGAGAUGCCCAUGUGGUCUUGGCCUUCUCCCCGAAGGGGCUUUCUUAGAAGCUACGGGGAAUUUGGAAUUUGUUUACAUCGCUUUGAGACAUUAUGCAGGUGUAUGUAGUCAAUCUGUCUAAUGAGAAUGCUGAAGUUCCACGAGCCUAGACUUGCUCAUGGCCCUUGGUACGAAGCUCUGGAGGCAGAAUCAUGGACGGAGUGGCCACAGCGCAACCCUCACGGCAGAGGGUUACUGCAGUCGUCGAGGUAGUCUGUGUGGGGCUGGUUUGGGCAUUAUCCACUGCCUCCUUCAUUCUCCAGACCAAGCCCAGCACCAUCAAG